CCUGAUGCAGCAUGCCGCGUGUGUGAAGAAGGCCUUCGGGUUGUAAAGCUCUUUUGUCCGGGAAGAAAAGGACCUGGUUGAUACCUGAGGCCCCUGAUGGUUCCGUGCCAAUAAGCGCGGGAAUACAACGUGCCAGCAGCCGCGGUAAUACAA
rnacentral:rRNA from 1 species